CCCUUAGAUGUCCGGGGCUGCACGCGCGCUACACUGAAGGAAUCAGCGUGCUAAAACCAUUGUCGAAAGGCAUUGGUAAACCCAUUAAAAUCCUACGUGAUUGGGAUCGGGAAUUGCAAUUAUUUCCCUUGAACGAGGAAUUCCCAGUAAGUGUGGGUCAUAAGCUCGCGUUGAUUACGUCCCUGCCCUUUGUACACACCGCCCGUCGCUGCCCGGGACUGAGCCGUUUCGAGAAAAGCGGGGACUGCUGCUGUCGGGGCUUUCGGGCCUUGGCUUCGGUGGAAACCGCUUUAAUCGCAGUGGCUUGAACCGGGAAAAAGUCGUAACA
rnacentral:rRNA from 1 species